rnacentral:rRNA from 1 species
UACGGAGGGAGCUAGCGUUAUUCGGAAUUACUGGGCGUAAAGCGCACGUAGGCGGCUUUGUAAGUCAGAGGUGAAAGCCUGGAGCUCAACUCCAGAACUGCCUUUGAGACUGCAUCGCUUGAAUCCAGGAGAGGUGAGUGGAAUUCCGAGUGUAGAGGUGAAAUUCGUAGAUAUUCGGAAGAACACCAGUGGCGAAGGCGGCUCACUGGACUAGUAUCGACGCUGAGGUGCGAAAGCGUGGGGAGCAAACAGG